rnacentral:rRNA from 1 species
AUGUCAGAUUUCAUUUUGGGGGCCAGUUCAUCCACAUUGGUCAUGUUUUGGAUUAUGUGGGGGGGAGAUGAAGCACUUUCAUUGAUUGAGAGGGACAAGUUGUCAUUGUUUGAAGUUCAAGGGCAUUUGAAAGACCAUCUGGAGUUCAAGGAAUCGAUGAAGUUGUAUUUUCAUGUUCCUGGGAAAGAACUAGCUGAUGGUUUGAGGUUUUUGUUUGAUGACAGUGGUUGUGCUAGCAUGUUAGACUACAUUUGUGUUGGAGAUGUAGCUGAUAUUUAUGUGGAAUACCAUGGGGAGCAGGACAGUGAGAGUAGCAGCAGUGCUAGUGAUUAUGAGAAUGAGAUUGUUGAUGUUGAUAUGGAUGAUGAUGAAGCUGAAGAACCUGACAUGGUCAUUACUGCAGAACCAGCUGAUAAUGGUGUGCUCACUCAAAUGAACAACAUCCAAUUUGAGCAUCCUAGGGCAAGCAAAACCACAGUGGCAAAUGAGGUUGAUGAAGUGGCAGGAACUCAGUUGAUAUUUUCUCAAAUAUGCAGUCCAGAUGAAGUGCCAGAUGCAGUGCAUUUUCAGAACAAUUUGAGGACAGAUGCAGUGAACUUUCAGAGGAAUGUGAGGACAGAGGAAGUGAAGGAUCAGAGCAACAACCCAGCAGAUCAAGUGAAUGUUGAGAGCAACAAUGCAGUUUCAGCUAGUGAUUCUGAAGAAGAUACAGAGUACAUACCACACAGUGAGGACAGUGGAGAAAAUUCAGAGGUUGUUGAGCUCAGAAGGCAUGCUAGAAAAUUUAAGAAGAGGAUGAGAGAUACAAAGAGUUGGCUUGCAGGUGAUUCAACAACUCCUAUUCCUAUUGACUUAAUUGCAAAUAUGGAAGAUCAGUUAGAGGGAGAGGAGAAACAGUGGGGCUAUGACUCAUCUGAUGAGGAUUAUUCUUAUGAUGAAGAUUCUGAUGGGCACAUGGUGAGGAGGAAGAGCCAGUAUCCAAGAUACAAUAAUGACUCAGAAAUUCCACACUUUGCAUUGACAAUGGUAUUCAGGAGCAAGAAUCAGCUUGUGAAAGCAUUGAAGAAAUAUGGGAUUGUGACCAAAAAAAGCAUUGUGUUCUUGAAGUCAGAGAGUAACAGAGUUAGGGCUAAGUGUGGAUGGCCUGGCUGCCCUUGGCUUAUUUAUGGAGCCAAAACCUCAAGAACAAGCAGGUUUCAAAUCAUAACAUUUAAUGAUGAGCACCAUUGUGCACAAAACAGGGAGAACGGACUUGUGACAGCUAAGUUUAUUGCUGAAAGAUAUGAGCACUUCAUUUUAGCUAAUCCAAUGUGGAAAAUUGAGAGCAUGAAAGCAACAGCUCUUCAGGACAUGUUUGCUGAUGUAUCAACUUCUAAGUGCAAGCAUGCAAAGAAGCUUGUCAUGGACAAGUUAAGGGCUGGAAUGAAGAAUGAAUACACCAGGGUUUUUGAUUAUCAGCUGGAGCUACUUAGAAGUAAUCCUGGAAGCACUGUUGCAGUCUGUUUGGAUCCAACAAACAUGGAACAGAACAUAUUUCAGAGUUUCUAUGUCUGCUUUAAUGCACUGAAGUUGGGAUUUAAGGCUGGCUGCAGGAAAGUGAUUGGUUUAGAUGGUUGUUUUUUUAAAGGUGCUGUCAAAGGAGAGCUAUUGUGUGCUGUUGCAAGAGAUGCAAACAAUCAAAUGUAUCCAGUGGCAUGGGCAGUUGUUGAGAGGGAACUAAUGAUACAUGGAAGUGGUUCAUUGCCCUGCUUAUUAAAGAUCUUGAGAUUAAUGACAAUGGAGCUGGCUGGGUGUUCAUUUCAGAUCAGCAGAAGGGACUGA